AGAGGACUCGCUAUCUGAAGAGAACCCGCCAUCUGAAGAGAACUCGCCAUCUGAAGAAAACCUUACAAAAGACUUGAAAGCCUGGAAACUCUUUCGAAAGACUCGAAAAAAGUAAGGAUUUCCGGUGAAACAGUAUAAGAGUAGAAGCUUUCCAGCAACGUACAGUAGACAAAUCAAACAAAAGGUCGCACAAAGAGAACGAAAACUUUAGUUUGUAAAAAAAAACUCUGUAUAUAUUGCAUAAACUUAUCGGCUUAUCGUGCACAAAUUAUAUACAUGCAGUUUAUCUCUGACAUGAAAAACGUCUCUCGUUAAGAAUAAUUUGGGGCAAUGUUAACCGGCAUGCUAUAAAUCCAGAUUAUUUUCAUGUAAAUUUUCAAAGUUAUGUUGUUCUAGAAACUUCCAUCUCAAUUAAUAAAUAAUGUUGGCC